rnacentral:tRNA from 1 species
UAGUUUAUGAACUUGAAUAAGUAUGUGUUUUGAAAGCAUAAAAUAGAAAUAUAACUUUCUAUAAACU